rnacentral:rRNA from 1 species
GGAUUAGAUACCCUGGUAGUCCACGCUGUAAACGCUGUCGACUAGCCGUUGGCCUUAUUAAGAAGGUUCGUGGCGCAGCUAACGCGAUAAGUCGACCGCCUGGGGAGUACGGCCGCAAGGUUAAAACUCAAAUGAAUUGACGGGGGCCCGCACAAGCGGUGGAGCAUGUGGUUUAAUUCGACGCAACGCGAAGAACCUUACCUACUCUUGACAUCCUGAGAACUUGCUAGAGAUAGCUUGGUGCCUUCGGGAGCUCAGUGACAGGUGCUGCAUGGCCGUCGUCAGCUCGUGCUG